AACUACUACAUAAUAAUUCUUCCAAAAUAAAUCGAUUUCUAUCACCACAUUAACUUCAAAGAUAACAGCAUACAACUUAGCCAAUCAACGGCUCUUAAACACUUCACGCGUUGAUCGCAAGGGUUAAGACAUACUAUACCAAUACAAACAUACAUACCAAAUAUUAGAAUUAGAGAUUACACUUUUCCAGCUUCAAGUGGCAACCAAAAAUAAAAGGUACAGUGCUUAACGUAGAAUUCAUUACAAACCGAAAUUUAAAUUCAAGUUGUUCAAGU
rnacentral:lncRNA from 1 species